rnacentral:rRNA from 1 species
UACAGAGGGUGCGAGCGUUGUCCGGAAUUACUGGGCGUAAAGCGCGCGUAGGCGGCUUUGCAAGUCGGGUGUGAAAUCCCCAGGCUUAACCUGGGAACUGCAUUCGAGACUGCAUUGCUAGAGUAUGGGAGAGGGAAGUGGAAUUUCCGGUGUAGCGGUGAAAUGCGUAGAUAUCGGAAGGAACAUCAGUGGCGAGAGCGACUGCCUGGACCAAUACUGACGCUCAUGUGCGAAAGCGUGGGGAGCAAACAGG